UCCUCGAUAGCUCAGUCGGUAGAGCAACGGACUGUUAAUCCGCAGGUCCCUGGUUCGAGCCCAGGUCGGGGAGCCA
rnacentral:tRNA from 1 species